AGGCAUAUGGUGUACUUGGCUAUCAUGCUCGCUUAGCAUUGCAGUAUGCAUUUCAUAUGUCUGCGGGAGGUGUUGGGUUCAAUUCCAAAUGUGUCCA